AACGAACGCUGGCGGCAUGCCUAACACAUGCAAGUCGAACGAGACCUUCGGGUCUAGUGGCGCACGGGUGCGUAACGCGUGGGAACCUGCCCUUAGGUUCGGAAUAACUCCCCGAAAGGGGUGCUAAUACCGGAUAAUGUCUUCGGACCAAAGAUUUAUCGCCUUUGGAUGGGCCCGCGUUGGAUUAGCUAGUUGGUAGGGUAAAAGCCUACCAAGGCGACGAUCCAUAGCUGGUCUGAGAGGAUGAUCAGCCACACUGGGACUGAGACACGGCCCAGACUCCUACGGAAGGCAGCAGUGGGGAAUAUUGGACAAUGGGCGAAAGCCUGAUCCAGCAAGGCCGCGUGAGUGAUGAAGGCCUUAGGGUUGUAAAGCUCUUUUACCCGGGAUGAUAAGGACAGUACCGGGAGAAUAAGCUCCGGCUACUCCGUG
rnacentral:rRNA from 1 species